AAAUGAAUAGACGGGGGCCCGCACAAGCGGUGGAGCAUGUGGUUUAAUUCGAUGCAACGCGAAGAACCUUACCAGGUCUUGACAUCCAACGAAUCUUUAGGAAACUAGGGAGUGCCUUCGGGAGCGUUGAGACAGGUGGUGCAUGGUUGUCGUCAGCUCGUGUCGUGAGAUGUUGGGUUAAGUCCCGCAACGAGCGCAACCCUUGCUAUUAGUUGCUAACAUUUCGGAUGAGCACUCUAAUGGGACUGCCCGUGACAAGCGGGAGGAAGGUGGGGAUGACGUCAAAUCAUCAUGCCCUUUAUGAUCUGGGCUACACACGUGCUACAAUGGAUGGUACAGAGAGCAGCAAGACCGUGAGGUGGAGCGAAUCUCAUAAAGCCAUUCUCAGUUCGGAUUGAAGUCUGCAACUCGACUUCAUGAAGUCGGAAUCGCUAGUAAUCGCGGAUCAGAACGUCGCGGUGAAUGCGUUCCCGGGCCUUGUACACACCGCCCGU
rnacentral:rRNA from 1 species